AGUGAACGCUGGCGGUAGGCCUAACACAUGCAAGUCGAACGGCAGCACAGUAAGAGCUUGCUCUUACGGGUGGCGAGUGGCGGACGGGUGAGGAAUACAUCGGAAUCUACUUUUUCGUGGGGGAUCACGUAGGGAAACUUACGCUAAUACCGCAUACGACCUACGGGUGAAAGCAGGGGAUCUUCGGACCUUGCGCGAUUGAAUGAGCCGAUGUCGGAUUAGCUAGUUGGGGGGGUAAAGGCCCACCAAGGCGACGAUCCGUAGCUGGUCUGAGAGGAUGAUCAGCCACACUGGAACUGAGACACGGUCCAGACGCCUACGGGAGGCAGCAGUGGGGAAUAUUGGACAAUGGGCGGAAGCCUUACCCAGCCAUCCCGCGUGUGUGAAGAAGGCCUUCGGGUUGUAAAGCCCUUUUGUGGGGAAAGAAAAGCAGCAGGUUAAUACCCCGCUGUUCUGACGGUACCCAAUGAAUAAGCACCGGCUAACUUCGUG
rnacentral:rRNA from 1 species